UUAAGAAAAAAUUUAAUAUUUAUUAAUCUAUCUAAUAAGAUUAUAUAAAGAGAGAUAUUAAAGAAAAAAACAUCUAUAAAAAUAUUUAAAUAAAUUAUUAAAAAGCACGGCCAAGUGGUCGAGUAUUAAUCUGCACUCGACAAUUUUAAAAUCAAUCUCCAACAAUAUAGCGACUACUUAAUUAUAUUAAGGCAAAAAUCACAGUCUGCAUGCACUCAAUAUAUAGGAAUAAUUUCACUUUAUAUAAAAUCCUAUUUUAAAAAACAAAAUUCAAUUUAAAUAUUAAUAGAAAAGAUAAAAAAAUCAGAAAAUAAAUAUUUGUGGUAACUGAUAUAUCAAAAUAUUGUAAUUUUUUGGUAGUUUUAGUAAUGUCUAUCCACUUUAAAUUUUUCAAAUUGACAAGUUACCAACUCCUAAAAUAACUCCCUUUUAACUUCCUUUUCCACUUUAAUGUUUUCCAAAAAAAAAAAAUGUCGAUGAAUUCACCAUGUCUACGUAAAUCACUGUUCGGCUUCUGAUACUUUCGGAUUCAACCAGAUCAAGUUGUUAUUAGGAUGUGGUUUACUUGAAUUUUAGUGAUGACUCACAGAUCAAGUUAUUAUUAGGAUGUGAUUUACUCGAAUUUCAGUGAGGACUCACAAUUAAUGGCUAGAUUAUGAGGUUUCAAAUUAAUGAAAAGGUGGAAAGCUAACAUAGUACCCAGAAUGCAAAAGGCAAAUAGUGACCUCCCUUUUGGAUAAGAUGUUGCUAUUUUAAACUGUUGUAUUAAGGAUAUCCUAUGAUACAUAUUACUCUUCAUUGUGGAUGAGAAUAUCAAAGGAAGUUGUAAUAUUGGAAUUCUAUCAUGUUCAAGAGUAAGGUUGAUUUAGAUAACUAUAGUAUGUGAAUCAAUGAAGUUUGUGUAAAUGAAGCUAUUCAUUGACAAAAAUAAUUUUUUAAAUUUCCUUA